rnacentral:rRNA from 1 species
UACGAGGGGGGCUAAUGUUGUUCGGAAUCACUGGGCGUAAAGGGAGCGUAGGCGGGCGUUUAAGUUAGGUGUUUAAUCCCAGGGCCCAACCCUGGUCAGGCACCUAAAACUGGACAUCUUGAAUAGUGGAGAGGACGAUGGAAUUGGGGGUGUAGCGGUGGAAUGCGUAGAGAUCCCCAAGAACACCAGUUGCGAAGGCGGUCGUCUGGACACAUAUUGACGCUGAGGCUCGAAAGCAUGGGGAGCAAACAGG